AACGAACGCUGGCGGCAUGCCUAACACAUGCAAGUCGAACGAAGCCUUCGGGCUUAGUGGCGCACGGGUGCGUAACGCGUGGGAAUCUGCCCUUGGGUUCGGAAUAACAGUUAGAAAUGACUGCUAAUACCGAAUGAUGUCUUCGGACCAAAGAUUUAUCACCCAAGGAUGAGCCCGCGUCGGAUUAGCUAGUUGGUGAGGUAAAGGCUCACCAAGGCGACGAUCCGUAGCUGGUCUGAGAGGAUGAUCAGCCACACUGGGACUGAGACACGGCCCAGACUCCUACGGGAGGCAGCAGUGGGGAAUAUUGGACAAUGGCGAAAGCCUGAUCCAGCAAUGACCGCGUGAGUGAUGAAGGCCUUAGGG
rnacentral:rRNA from 1 species